UCUGCCCGUGAGAGCCUCUUCUUCUGGAAGCUGGUUUCACAUGGUGGCUUAGAUUUUUCCAUCUUUGUAUCUAGCACCAUUUGAAAUCAGUGUUUUAGGAGUAAGAAUUGCAGCACAGCCAAGG
rnacentral:precursor_RNA from 15 species